rnacentral:rRNA from 2 species
UACGUAGGGGGCAAGCGUUGUCCGGAAUCAUUGGGCGUAAAGAGCGUGUAGGCGGUUCAGUAAGUCUGCUGUGAAAGUCCAGGGCUCAACCCUGGGAUGCCGGUGGAUACUGCUGGGCUAGAGUACGGAAGAGGCGAGUGGAAUUCCCGGUGUAGCGGUGAAAUGCGCAGAUAUCGGGAGGAACACCUAUUGCGAAGGCAGCUCGCUGGGACGUCACUGACGCUGAGACGCGAAAGCGUGGGGAGCAAACAGG